UUUGCAAUGAUGAAAGAUCAAUAUAAACAGUUAUCCCUGUCUGAAGACUAUUGUUGAGAACGUAUUCACACUCUGAUUGCAAU
rnacentral:snoRNA from 1 species